GACGAACGCUGGCGGCGUGCUCAACACAUGCAAGUCGAACGGUAAGGCCCUUCGGGGUACACGAGUGGCGAACGGGUGAGUAACACGUGGGUGAUCUGCCCUGCACUUCGGGAUAAGCCUGGGAAACUGGGUCUAAUACCGGAUAGGACCACUGCCUGCAUGGGUGGUGGUGGAAAGCUUUUGCGGGGUGGGAUGGGCCCGCGGCCUAUCAGCUUGUUGGUGGGGUGAUGGCCUACCAAGGCGACGACGGGUAGCCGGCCUGAGAGGGUGACCGGCCACGCUGUGACUGAGAUACGGCCCAGACUCCUACGGGAGGCAGCAGUGGGGAAUAUUGCACAAUGGGCGCAAGCCUGAUGCAGCGACGCCGCGUGAGGGAUGACUGCCUUCGGGUUGUAAACCUCUUUCAGCACCGACGAAGCGCAAGUGACGGUAGGUGCAGAAGAAGGACCGGCCAACUACGUGCCAGCAGCCGCGGUAA
rnacentral:rRNA from 1 species